rnacentral:rRNA from 1 species
GUAAGUCGGAGGGGUAGAGUAAGCUUGCUUACUUGAGACCGGCGCACGGGCCCUGUAACGCGUAUGCAAUCUACCUUAUACAGGGGAAUAGCCCCUAUAAAUUUGGAUUAAUGCCCCAUAGUGUUAUUGAAUCGCAUGGUUUAAUAACUAAAGUUCCAACGGUAUAAGAUGAGCAUGCGUCCCAUUAGUUAGUUGGUAAGGUAACGGCUUACCAAGACAAUGAUGGGUAGGGGUCCUGAGAGGGAGAUCCCCCACACUGGUACUGAGACACGGACCAGACUCCUACGGGAGGCAGCAGUGAGGAAUAUUGGUCAAUGGGCGCAAGCCUGAACCAGCCAUGCCGCGUGCAGGAAGACGGUCCUAUGGAUUGUAAACUGCUUUUAUACAGGAAGAAACAACUCUACGUGUAGAGUCUUGACGGUACUGUAGGAAUAAGGAUCGGCUAACUCCGUGCCAGCAGCCGCGGUAAUACGGAGGAUCCAAGCGUUAUCCGGAAUCAUUGGGUUUAAAGGGUCCGUAGGCGGUCUUAUAAGUCAGUGGUGAAAUCUCCUAGCUCAACUAGGAAACUGCCAUUGAUACUGUAAGACUUGAAUUUUUGUGAAGUAACUAGAAUAUGUGGUGUAGCGGUGAAAUGCUUAGAUAUUACAUGGAAUAC